rnacentral:rRNA from 1 species
UGGGGAAUAUUGGACAAUGGGCGAAAGCCUGAUCCAGCCAUGCCGCGUGUGUGAAGAAGGUCUUCGGAUUGUAAAGCACUUUAAGUUGGGAGGAAGGGCAUUAACCUAAUACGUUAGUGUUUUGACGUUACCGACAGAAUAAGCACCGGCUAACUCUGUGCCAGCAGCCGCGGUAAUACAGAUGGUGCAAGCGUUAAUCGGAAUUACUGGGCGUAAAGCGCGCGUAGGUGGUUUGUUAAGUUGGAUGUGAAAUCCCCGGGCUCAACCUGGGAACUGCAUUCAAAACUGACUGACUAGAGUAUGGUAGAGGGUGGUGGAAUUUCCUGUGUAGCGGUGAAAUGCGUAGAUAUAGGAAGGAACACCAGUGGCGAAGGCGACCACCUGGACUAAUACUGACACUGAGGUGCGAAAGCGUGGGGAGCAAACA